GGCAGGGUGGCAGAGCUUGGUUUAUUGCGGCGCAUUGAUACUGCGCAGACCGCAGAAAUGUGGUCCAGGGGUUCAAAUCCCCUCCCUAUUU
rnacentral:tRNA from 1 species